rnacentral:lncRNA from 1 species
CCUGACAAGCACAACUCAUUUUUCUCAUCAAUCAGGGUACCUUUUUUUCAAUAUCUGUUUGUCACUGGAACUGGAGAAAAUUUACAUUGACAAGAUCUCUAAUAUUGCACUGAUUAAUCUAUGUCAGACCUAUGUUGAUUAGUUGCCUUCACAAUGAAGAACAGGAGAAGACAUUCCUGAACUUGUGAAUUUUCUGAGGAUAUUCAGAAUGGACUGCAAAAAGAAAUUAAGACCUCUUUUACAAGAAUGAAGUCCUCAAAACAUUUGAAAGGACAGGAGCAGUACAUUUCCUUGGGCAGUCUUUCACUGAAGAUUAUGGGGAUUCCAGAGGUUGUGUAGAACCAAGGAGAGGAGCACAGAGCUGUCUUUGGAAGUGGAGAAGCAUGGUCCCCUCCUGGGACCAUGGAGGAGGCAGUGUUCAAGCCAAACAGCUCCAGGAAAUGAUGCUGAGUUUCCACUUACAUGAUAAUUCAAACCUUGGUCACAGAGUAAAGUGACCAAAUUGUUUACCUUUGGAUGCACAUGGAGCACAAUUGGAUUGCAAUGAAUUUCAGGAACUGGCAACCAGAGUGUAUUUGAGGUGAGUGACCUAGAAACAAACUUGGUAUCUCAUUACUGUAAGCCAUCCAGUAUGAUUUACUUAGUG